UCGCGAUCACAACAACCAAAAACAAAAACGUAGAGGGAAAUUUUUGAAAGUUUCUUUUGAUUCGCGAGUGAUUUCGACGAAAAAAUCGCGAUUGUGUAGAUUUUGAGUGUUUGUUUUACGAAGAGAACACCAUUGCGGAUGGAAAUAGGAAGUGGGGGACCAACGCUGUACUGUAACAGUACGAAGAUGCGACGAAAAGACGUUUUACGAACGAGGUUCAAAUUCAAGAACCCAUCAGUAAUAAUCUGAAGCUUCCACAGGAGAAAAACAGAUUGAUCAGCAACCGUCAAGAAGUACCUCCUGACUGAACGUGAUCCAUGUGAAAACAUCGGCCAAACGGGAGCUUGUGAAAAGAGUGCGUAGCAGUCGAGAACGAGAACAACGCCGAAAAUGUAGCUGUCCAGAAGACACAAAAAGGGUGUGAGUACCGCUUACUGGUCGAUUAUCAAGAAGACCCUAUCCUCUUCUUCCGUUGAACAAGACUACACCCACCCCUGCUCGAUAACCUCCAUCUGUUCCGGUGAGGCGACUGGGGAGCAGCUUAAUCUGGGUUCGGAUUGGUCGCCGUAUAAAUAGCAAAUUUGUCAAUAAUGAAGAAGGAAAGAGUGGCAUCCGGGUCUGGUUUCGUGUGAAGCCAUCGUCUCCCACGCUUCACACGAAAACUGGACGUGAUUGUCCGGCAUUGGAACCGAUGCCAAAGGUGAAUCGCGGCGGCAUUUUCGCGAUUGUCCGCCGCAAUCAAUUGCUCCGUCACGACCAACCGAGCAGAUCCGACAUCCACUUCCCGAAUCCCAAAGCAACACACCAAUCGCAGGAACAAGAAUACCGAAAAUGUGAAGAUAACCUGUAGUAUGUACCUAGUAGGGUAUGAUCGUGGAGGAAUGGUACCCCUCCACCGAAACGAUACGAAUACCUGCGCUGGCCGGUUAGUGCCCCUAGGAGCUGAUGAUGGUAAAUGAUUUUUUUUGCUUCAUGGACGAAGUCAUGAUGGCCUCUUCCAAAGUAUCAACAAAAGCAAUCUUCUUGUUAUUGUUAUUCAGGCCUCCUUGUUAUGUGACGACCGUGUUUCAUCAGAAUUACAUACAUCUGUUUAUAUAUAUCAUGUAAGAUUGAGAAAACAAGACG